GCGGCAGGCAAAACCGGGGAUUAAAAUAGAAAUGCGUUCGAGAGCGGCUGUGAGACUGCCCCGCUUUCGACUGGAGGACAGCUCCACGCGGAGUGGAAUCUUAUAGGGAUGCCCUGAGAACUAAAAGCCCUUGCAAAUGACUGCACAAAGUAAUGGACUCCUUGUAAACAUCUCCUGGGAGCCAGGCAGCAAAGCGGAGCGCGGCCACGAGAGCGAGGUGCGGGCACUCGGACUGGCCGAGCCCGCCGCCAGGAACAGCAUUUCCCCAUCUCUCGUGGCUGCUGAAAGACUCCAGCCGUAAAGGCAACGUGAGCCAGGUAAUCGUCUGGCUGAAAUGAUUUACAGGCCAACGUUGCACAAUAAAUCCGAGUAAUAUGUAGCAAAAGGCAUCCAUAAACCACAAGAAAUACCAGGCUUAAUCACUACAAUUGCUGGAGGAGGUGCCUGCAGCGCAAAGAAGACAAGUCCAGACAAAAUAAGGCACACACGCUAUGCAAAACUAAUGUCUGCUACAAAUGCUAUGUGGUACAACCACCACCCAAGAUGCUACUGAUCUGCAGAGUGGUAUUUAGUAAAAUAAUGAAGAAAAAAAUUAAAAACAACAACUACAAAGAAGUCAAGGACUGAUACAAACUGAGGUUGGGGGUGCCUACUUCGGACAGAUAGCAGGAGGAAAGCACCACGUCUGAGAACACGUUCCAGUGCUUCAAAGGAGACAGUUUGGCAAAAAUAAAGAUAAAAUUAUCAAUGAAAGUUGAGACUAAAACGAAAAAACAAUUCUGUAACUUGUAUGAGAUGGACACCAGUAUGUGCCUUCACAGGAUCCUCUCUGGCAGAAAGAACAAAGCUCUCUUGCAAUUUAGCACAGUGCAGCACCAACGAGUCCGUCACAGUUUUUCAACUGGACACAUUCUCCAGUAUACCCUGCCUGGGGCUGCUCAAGAGAAAAUGAACAGAUUUGCAGGGUUAAUAUUGUAGUUAGGCUGGAACCUCAUUCAGCACAGCUGUGAUAGCACUGGCUGCACAAAACAGUAGAAGAAUGUGUAGUAUAAACAUCACUGCCAGGAUGGGAGAUAGGUUGGAGGACUGUGGGAAUUUUAAAAGGCAUAAGAAGACACAAAAUGUAAGAAGAGGGGACUAGGUUCCAAACCCAAGUCAUAACCAAGCUGCCGUUUACAGUUUACCUACUAAAACUCCCAAGAAAU